AGAAUCAACGCUGGCGGCGUGCCUAACACAUGCAAGUCGAACGAGAAAGUGGAGCAAUCCAUGAGUACAGUGGCGUACGGGUGAGUAACACGUGACUAACCUACCCUCGAGUGGGGAAUAACCUAGGGAAACCUGGGCUAAUACCGCAUAACAUCUUCGGAUCAAAUGCGUAAGCAGCUUGAGGAGGGGGUCGCGGCCGAUUAGCUAGUUGGCGGGGUAAUGGCCCACCAAGGCAAUGAUCGGUAGCCGGCCUGAGAGGGCGCACGGCCACACUGGAACUGAAACGCGGUCCAGACUCCUACGGGAGGCAGCAGUGGGGAAUUUUGCGCAAUGGGGGAAACCCUGACGCAGCAACGCCGCGUGGAGGAUGAAGCCCCUUGGGGCGUAAACUCCUUUCGACCAAGACGAUAAUGACGGUACUGGUGGAAGAAGCACCGGCUAACUCUGUGCCAGCAGCCGCGGUAAUACGGAGGGUGCAGGCGUUGUUCGGAAUUAUUGGGCGUAAAGGGCGCGUGGGCGGCGCGGUAAGUCACCUGUGAAAUCUCCAAGCUUAACUUGGAGCCUGCAGGCGAAACUGCCGUGCUGGAGUAUGGGAGAGGUGCGUGGAAUUCCCGGUGUAGCGGUGAAAUGCGUAGAUAUCGGGAGAACACCUGUGGCGAAAGCGGCGCACUGGACCAUAACUGACGCUGAGGCGCGAAAGCUAGGGGAGCAAACAGGAUUAGAUACCCUGGUAGUCCACGCCCUAAACGAUGCAUACUUGGUGUGAGCGAUUCAUUUCGUUCGUGCCGGAGCUAACGCGUUAAGUAUGCCGCCUGGGGAGUACGGUCGCAAGGCUGAA
rnacentral:rRNA from 1 species